AGUGGCGUCGGGCGUCACGGGUCGGGGGUCGAGGGUCAGUUUCGGGGUGCCCGGGGUUCCCCUUUUCCUCUUCUUUCUUCUUCUCCUCUCUCCUCCUUUUCUUCUUCUUCUUCUUUUCUUCUUCUUCUUCUUCUUCUUCUUCUUCUUCUUCUUUUUUCUCCUCCUACUCCCCCUCCUCUUUUCUCCUCCUAUUCUUUUUCUUGUUCUUGUUCUUGUUCUUGUUCUUCUUGUUCUUCUUCUUCUUCUUUCUCCUCCUCUUCCUCCUCC
rnacentral:lncRNA from 1 species